GCCAGACUCCUACGGGAGGCAGCAGUGGGGAAUAUUGCACAAUGGGGGAAACCCUGAUGCAGCGACGCCGCGUGAGUGAAGAAGUAUUUCGGUAUGUAAAGCUCUAUCAGCAGGAACGAGACAAGACGGUACCUGACUAAGAAGCCCCGGCUAACUACGUGCCAGCAGCCGCGGUAAUACGUAGGGGGCAAGCGUUAUCCGGAAUCACUGGGUGUAAAGGGAGCGUAGACGGCUGAGCAAGCCUGAAGUGAAAGGCAGGGGCCCAACCCCUGGACUGCUUUGGGAACUGUACGGCUGGAGUGCAGGAGAGGUAAGUGGAAUUCCUAGUGUAGCGGUGAAAUGCGUAGAUAUUAGGAGGAACACCAGUGGCGAAGGCGGCUUACUGGACUGUAACUGACGUUGAGGCUCGAAAGCGUGGGGAGCAAACAGGAUUAGAUACCCUUGUA
rnacentral:rRNA from 1 species